UCUUAUCUAGAUGCGCUUUCUCUUUCCAUCUUCUUCAUCUUUUCCCGAACAGAAAUACCAAACCAUAACUGUGAAUCCUUGUUUCAUUAUAAUUCGUUCAACUGAUAUACUUCAUUCGUUCGAACUAAACUCUCCCAGAAUUCAUGAUUCGAUCUGUAGCUUUGCAUCAAUUUCUUCGAUCUGUGAUAGUUUCUUCUUUCUUCAAUUUCUUCGAUCUGUAACAUUUCAUUCCUUCUUCAAUUUCUUCGAUUGGUUGCAAUCAACUAUUCUUCCAUUUUAUCUUAUAACCAAAGAAGAAAUCGAACCUCCUUUCAUUUCAUCAUCAGUAGCAAAUCGAAGAAGAGUUCAACAGAAAUCAGUGAUGAAAAUAUUAGGAGUUAUCAGUGGAUUUAUUUGUGUUAUGGGUCUUUUUCAAUAUUAUAUCUACAAAUUGCAGGCAGAAGCAUAUCGGUAAUCAUAUGUAGGAUGUGGACAAGAAGCUGGUCGAGAAAUAAUGCUAAGCAAACUACAAUUAUGAUGCAUGAAAUAGUGAAGAUGAAGUCAUGGUGAUGAUUUCCUGAUAAGUUAUGUUUACAGAACUAUGAACUUGUUAUGCAACUUGUUCAUAAUCUUCGAGAGUGAUUCUUCGAGAUUCUAAAUCUCACCAUAAAGAAUUGUGAUUUCUAGCAAGUUAUCAUAUGAUGCACAGUACUGAUACUAAUAUCAAAGAUUCAAAACUUGUUAUAUCUGGCAAAAGCAUUAAGUAUGGACUUGACCUUCUUCAGGGACUCCAAAACGAAACCAAGAGUACAAAGAAAUCACUAAAGGUGAAGUUAAUAUGCUCUUAAUAGUUCUCAAUUUGUUGUUUGUUCACAGUGGUUCGGCGAAGGAGAGAAAUAUUUCAAAGCAGUGUUCUCACUAGCUAGUAAAAUAGCUCCAAGUGUUAUCUUUGUUGAUGAGUGAUCCCACAGUUUCUUUUCUCAAAAAUUGCUUUAAGUUGGUCUUGUUUGGAUCCAAAGCAAGAGGAAAGGAAUUUCACAUCCCGAUCAACUUUAGUUGAAUUUGAUGCGGAAUUCGCAGGAACCAACAGAAAAAUUAAGGUGUACUUAACUAAGUUUUACAAUCUAAGCAGAAGCGAAAUUUUACAAUCUGAGAAGAUGAGGAUUUGAUGAAAGCAUCCAGGACAUAAAUAUGGAAGAGGAUGCGUUGGCAUUAAUGGAUCAUUUAGAUUGACCACAAGCUCAUUCCAUGGGUUCAAUGGCUUGAAUCAAAGCACACAAACCCAGGGCUUACUUCAAGAAGUUUCAAUUCAAAUUCAAGCGAAUGAGAGGCAAAAACGAAAAAUAGAUCCAGAAUCCGACUAAUUAACCAGCGCAAGAACAAGUACAACACCCCUAAGUACCGUUUUGUUGUUCGUUUCACCAACAUAGAAAUUGUUGCCCUGAUCAUAUCUGCUAUGAUACUGGUGAUUUGGUAACUUGUGCAGCUUAUGCCCACAAGUUUCCCAGAUAUGGUCUUGAAGUUGGUCUCACUAACUAUGCCGCAGCUUAAGGCUAGAGUGAUGAACCUGAAUUGAGCUAGUUUGUUGGUAAAUGAAGGUAUAAGUAAUGAAGUCUUGUUCUAUGCUGCUAAUUCGCAUGGAAGAUUUUCAAGCUUUUUGAUUUGUUAAGUUUGUAAAAGGAAUAUAGGUUGAGCAAUUUUUUACUUACCGUUGAAAUUCAGAUUUAAAACUUAAAAGGUAUGAUAGUAGAAGUUGUAAACGAACACAUUUUAAUACAAAUUAAGCGUUACAGUCGUUAUAAA